AUUGAACGCUGGCGGCAGGCUUAACACAUGCAAGUCGAGCGAGCGGCGGACGGGUGAGUAAUGUAUGGGAAACUGCCUGGUGGCGGGGGAUAACUACUGGAAACGGUAGCUAAUACCGCAUACCAUCAGAUGGGCCCAUAUGGGAUUAGCUAGUCGGUGGGGUAAUGGCUCACCUAGGCGACGAUCCCUAGCUGGUCUGAGAGGAUGACCAGCCACACUGGAACUGAGACACGGUCCAGACUCCUACGGGAGGCAGCAGUGGGGAAUAUUGCACAAUGGGCGCAAGCCUGAUGCAGCCAUGCCGCGUGUAUGAAGAAGGCCUUCGGGUUGUAAAGUACUUUCAGCGGGGAGGCGGUACUCGCAGAAGAAGCACCGGCUAACUCCGUGCCAGCAGCCGCGGUAAUUC
rnacentral:rRNA from 1 species